rnacentral:rRNA from 1 species
AGCGAACGCUGGCGGCAGGCCUAACACAUGCAAGUCGAACGAACCUUUCGGGGUUAGUGGCGGACGGGUGAGUAACACGUGGGAACGUGCCUUUAGGUUCGGAAUAACUCAGGGAAACUUGUGCUAAUACCGAAUGUGCCCUUCGGGGGAAAGAUUUAUCGCCUUUAGAGCGGCCCGCGUCUGAUUAGCUAGUUGGUUGAGGUAAUGGCUCACCAAGGCGACGAUCAGUAGCUGGUCUGAGAGGAUGAUCAGCCACAUUGGGACUGAGACACGGCCCAAACCCCGCGGGGGGGAGGCAGGGGGAAAUCUGGCGAAGGGGCCAAAACCUGGACGAAGCCAUGCCGGGGGAAUGAGAAGGGUCUAAGGAUUGAAAAAUUUUUUCCCGGGGGCGGAAAAGGACGGGACCGGAAAAAAAACCCCCGGCAAACUUGGUC